rnacentral:rRNA from 1 species
UACGUAGGGUGCAAGCGUUAUCCGGAAUUAUUGGGCGUAAAGAGCUCGUAGGCGGCUUGUCACGUCGGGUGUGAAAGCCCGGGGGCUUAACCCCCGGGUCUGCAUUCGAUACGGGCAGGCUAGAGUGUGGUAGGGGAGAUCGGAAUUCCUGGUGUAGCGGUGAAAUGCGCAGAUAUCAGGAGGAACACCGGUGGCGAAGGCGGAUCUCUGGGCCAUUACUGACGCUGAGGAGCGAAAGCGUGGGGAGCGAACAGG